GCCAUGGAAAAAGUCAAAUUAUUACCUGAAUUCUGGGCAGACAACCCUCCUGAGUGGCUGAAUGAAGAACUGCAUUAUUCACCGAACUAACCAACUUACUUUAAUUGGAAUGUUCAUAAUAAAGCUAAAACUUUGUUCAGUUUAAGAGAGACUCAGUUAUACUCCGUAAUAAGCAUUUAAUUAAUUCACAUUGAACAGUAGAGCAACACUCAGACUGUCCAUGUUGACGCACCUCAAUGAUCUCAUAAGAGUCUC